AUUGAACGCUGGCGGCAGGCCUAACACAUGCAAGUCGAACGAGUGGUGGACGGGUGAGUAAUGUCUGGGAAACUGCCUGAUGGAGGGGGAUAACUACUGGAAACGGUAGCUAAUACCGCAUACCAUCGGAUGUGCCCAGAUGGGAUUAGCUAGUAGGUGGGGUAAAGGCGCACCUAGGCGACGAUCCCUAGCUGGUCUGAGAGGAUGACCAGCAACACUGGAAAUGAGAAACGGUCCAGACGCCGACGGGAGGCAGCAGUGGGGAAUAUUGCACAAUGGGCGCAAGCCUGAUGCAGCCAUGCCGCGUGUAUGAAGAAGGCCUUCGGGUUGUAAAGUACUUGCAGCGGGGAGGCGUUACCCGCAGAAGAAGCACCGGCUAACGCCGUGCCAGCAGCCGCGGUAAUUC
rnacentral:rRNA from 1 species